CCCCCAAAUGGUGUCCCGCGUUACCAGUGUUAAAAUCGGGUCACCUUAGUAUAAAACCAUGAGACUGAGAGGCAGCUACAAAGACUAAAUUGUCAGUGAGGAGGAGUCCAAAGACUGAGCGCUCGGAUGCUCCAAUGCUAAGAAGUCAGGGUAGAGAAACUACUAUCAAGGAAAUUGAAAAGGACAGCCUGGACUGUGAUAAGAGGAACAUCCCUUCCUUAGCUGGCCCAGAAUCCAAGAGAAGAAAGUGCUCCAGUGAAGCCAAGGGGAGGGACCGUGUCCAGUGUUGCUGGUAAGUCACCUAAAAUGAGAACAGGGAGUUAACCAUUGGCUUUGGCAUUGCAGAGUCAUCCUUGAGAGUGGGUUUAUGAGAACAUGGAUGGGUAAAGGAAACAUAAAAGGAAACUGGAAACUACUAGCUUGUGGGGAUCAAAGUUCAUGAAGAGAAAAGUGAGUUUCUGCUGUUAGAAACCCACGGGCCCUCACGCUUACUCCCCACUCCACAUACUGUCCUAAAUGCCGUGCAGGCACUUUGGCUCUUGCUUGAGUAGAUACUGGCUCUGCUGGGUGCACAGCUUUGUACAAGCUAUGGAAGGUUCUCCCGUCUUUCCCUGCUGUCUCUGACCAUGCCGUUCUCGAAUGAGGUGUCAGUGAGGAAUACCCUGUACACACACUUGCUGACCUCUUGUCCCUGGGAAUCAGCCUCCUUUCCCCUGUGUGGUGGUCGUGUGCCUGCUGCUCUCCACGAGAUUGGAGGCCUUUGAGGGUCUGGCCUUCCCACCAGUGGGUUUCACAUGCAGUGAGAUGACUGAGGCCAGCUGCCCCCUUACCAGUCCUCACAUGGUUCCUUCAUGGCCUCUCUUUAGAGUUUUACAUGAAAGCAUUUCAAACUCAUAUUCUGGGGAAACGUGGCUGCUGGGAUUGUCACGUUAACUUUGUGUUUUCUAAUAACAAAAAUAGUAACUGGUAGGAAUUACCUUGUUGGCACUUCAGAGAGGGUGGGAGGAUGGAGAGGUGAAGGUAGGAAGGAGUGGGAAAGAGAUGGGAAUAUUCUCAUUUUCCUUUGUGCCAGUUGCCUUUCUGUAAUAGAUCUUAGGAGAUAAUUGAUUAAUUUCCUGAGCUGUAAUAUAUUUACAUGUAAAAAGUGUAGAUGAUUGUGAGACAUGCCCUGGUUGCUUCCCCAGAGAAAGGAGGCAUUAGGUUCUCCCAGGGGCAGUUUUUCCAGCUUAGAAAGUGGACAAUGCUGUCAUGAAGGGCUCAUUUCCAGAUGUGGCUCGGGUCCUCAGUGGGUCAUUUUCCUUCUGCCAGCGUCAGCCGUCUCUAGUGGCUUCCCAUCCAGGGAAGACUUUCCAUCCUGGUAUGUUAGUUUUGUGCCAGUGAAGAGUGGCCAGUUGGGUCAGGGGGUUAGGGAUUGGGUUGUAGCAAAGUCCCUACUCAGCCAGUUCUCAAUCUACCCACAAAUGGGGACUUUUAUGCCUGCAGGCCCAGUGGGCAGUUGGCUUGGUGAUAGGAUUUAGAGAGUGGGCACAGGGGGUGACAGCAGUGGUCCUAGUGAGCCCAAGUGUCCUGUGUGAUGGACCGUUUCCACCUUGCACAGAAUCAGAGACAACAUAGAGACAGAGAUGAAGGACGCUCUCUCAAAGCCUAGAUCCCUUCGGUGUUCCAGGGGGACAGUACACCUAGCUGGUAUACCCCAACUGUGUUCUGGGAAUCGUAAUCCUCUUACACACAAGCUGGGAUCACCAGCAGUGCUGGGAGCCGCACAAGGCAGGCCAUGAGUCGUUCACAGAGGCCAGUGGAGGCGGCCACGGCCCACCUGGUCCCCGUCAGGUGUGCACACCCUGACUCAGCUCCCAGCUCCCAGCACCUUCCAGGCUGCCGCAGAGGGAACACCGAUCUUAAUGUUUAUGACACUUUCUAGUGGAUACAGUCUGGAACCUGGAGAAAGCAGGUCAAGGCCUGAAAGAACUCACCCAGUCUGCCAGGUUAGGAUGUGGUGGGGACUGCUUGGAGGCGUGGCUCCAACUUCACUUGAUGGCGUUGAGCUUCUCUGGCUUUGAGAUGGAGGGACAGGAAGAAGGCUCCAGGACCCUGAAGUCCAUGGAUGGAGGGGCAGAAUGCCCUGCUCUCUUCAGGCCCCAAGAAUCUCUCCUUCACUCCCCGAAGGUGACCGUCCCCUGCAUUGCCUUCAGGUCCCCCUCAUAUAAAAUCGCCCUCUUAUUUACUGACUCAUUGUUUCCUUGUGGUGUUUACUAUUUCUGGUGUAUCUCAAGACACUCCCUCAUUUUCUUUUCCUCCAGUGAGAAGAACGCAGAGACUCCCUUACUUCAUUUCCCUCUCUGAGUGGUGUAUUAUUUCCUCCUUAUUGAGGGAGAGGGGUGAGAAAACUUGUUAAGGGAAAGGAUGGGUGCUUUCACUUUUUACUAGACUCACUUACUGCUCAUCGCUCCUAGUACAAGAAUAUAAGGUAAACCUUAGCUUGAGGAUGGAAAUUUUCAGACAUAAUAUCAAGGGCACCGAAUGCUCUUUAUAAACAUCACAUUGUGGCUGUUACCGAAACCGGAAAGCCAGGAGCAGUCCAAGGUUAUCUAGCAAGA